UCUACCAUCACUUUAUGGUAUUCAAAUCAACCUACAAAUUCAUGUUUUUCACACCAUUCAUUCUUACUCAAACAAAUUCACAAACACAUGGUGCUCAAAAUCUAACGCUACUUUGAACCAAUUCAACACUUCCAAAACAAGUUCACGACACAAUCAACACAAAGCAACAAGACUUGAAAAUCUAAACAGAACAACAAAAGAGUAG